rnacentral:snRNA from 1 species
AUCGCUUCUCGGCCUUUUGGCUAAGAUCAAGUGUAGUAUCUGUUCUUAUCAGUUUAAUAUCUGAUACGCCCCCUAUCUGGGGGCCAUAUAUUAAAUGGAUUUUUAGAACAGGGAGAUGGAAGAAGAGCUUGCUCUGUCCACUCCACGCAUUGACCUGGUAUUGCAGUACCUCCAGGACUGGUACACAAAAA